GACGAACGCUGGCGACGUGCCUAAUGCGUGCAAGUCGCACGCGGGGAGCUUGCUCCGCCGCGUGGCGCACGGCUGAGGACCACGUGGGUACCAACCCCGGAGUGGGGGAUACCUCGUCGAAAGACGAGACAAUCCCGCAUACGAUCGGCAACGAUGAAAGCGGCAACGUGCGCUGGGACGGGCCUGCGGCCCAUCAGGUAGUUGGUGAGGUAAUGGCCCACCAAGCCUAGAACGGGUCCCUGGUCUGAGAGGCCGACCAGGCAGACUGGGACUGAGACACGGGCCAGACUCCUACGGGAGGCAGCAGCAAGGAAUUUUCCCCAAUGGCCGCAAGGCUGAGGGAGCAACGGCGCGUGCAGGACGACGGCCUUCGGGUUGUAAACUGCUUUUGGCGGGGAAGAUACUGACGGUACCCCCUGAAUAAGCCCCGGCUAACUCCGUGCCAGCCGCCGCCGUAA
rnacentral:rRNA from 1 species